rnacentral:rRNA from 1 species
AGAGUUUGAUCCUGGCUCAGAUUGAACGCUGGCGGCAUGCCUUACACAUGCAAGUCGAACGGUAGAGGGGCAACCCUUGAGAGUGGCGAACGGGUGAGUAAUGCAUCGGAACGUGCCCAGUCGUGGGGGAUAACGCAGCGAAAGCUGUGCUAAUACCGCAUGUGAUCUGUGGAUGAAAGCAGGGGACUUGGUAGCAAUACUGGGCCUUGUGCGGUUGGAGCGGCCGAUGUCAGAUUAGCUAGUUGGUAGGGUAAAAGCCUACCAAGGCGACGAUCUGUAGCUGGUCUGAGAGGACGACCAGCCACACUGGGACUGAGACACGGCCCAGACUCCUACGGGAGGCAGCAGUGGGGAAUUUUGGACAAUGGGCGCAAGCCUGAUCCAGCAAUGCCGCGUGCAGGACGAAGGCCUUCGGGUUGUAAACUGCUUUUGUACGGAGCGAAACGGUCUGGGUUAAUACCCUAGGCUAAUGACGGUACCGUAAGAAUAAGCACCGGCUAACUACGUGCCAGCAGCCGCGGUAAUAC